UAGAAUACGCUCAACAUAAAGCUGAAAAAGCGCAAACAACUGAUCUCUUAACUUCUAAUGACGAAUCAUUGGUUUUAAAAAAGAAGAGAUGCAUCCAAAAAAUGUCGAAGAAAACUGAAAAGUGUCGAUUCGCUUCUAGUAGCAGUGACACCGAGAAAGCAGUUUCUGACGAUGAUUCGAAUGAAUAUCCCGUUCAAUUUGAAAAUUUUGAUGUUUUCACAAACAAAAAACGUGUGGAACAUAAAAAAAUUGAACACGAUACAAAUGAUUCUGUUGAGAUUGAUAAGACUGUAUCAGAACGUGAAGAAAGGCAGAUAAUGAAAGCACAAUUGUUCGAAUUAAAAGAAUAUCAAAAGCAAUGUCUGAAAGAUAUAAACCUCCUGCAUUUAAAACUUAAUGCCAUUUCUGAGUCAAUUUCUUCAUUGGUGAUUGCAUCAAAAACGAUAGUAAAACCCACGAUCUUGCCAAGUGAGCCACUGCCAAUAUUAAACUUAUUUCCUAUGGACUCGGCAGGAUUAAUUCAAGUAGAGGAGUGGCUAUAAACCAAACAAAACAAAAAAAACUUGGUUGCAGAAUUGAGCAAAAUAGGCGGACCAACAGUGAAGGAGGUUGUCAAACGGGUUAUGUAUCGAUUAUUUGAAAAUUCCUUAGGCAUGGAAUACUCUUGGAAAGGCAAAAAAAAGAAACAAGUUUUUAAAUCACUUUUGAUUUCUUCAGUAAUCAUAGAUGUUGUUCGCGCGAAUAAAAAUACAGCAGAUUGUAGAGAAUACGAAAUUAUUGAAAUAAUAAAGUCGUGGCUCGUGAGAAGUAAGGAGCGUUUUUAUAAUAACACAAGGAUUUUAGGGAGCGAUGCACCAAAGAAGGCUCAAAUUGAACCAAAGAAGACUACACCGACUAAACGGAAAAAAGUUUCGACUGAACUGAAAGAAAUUGAACAAGAGGCACCUACUAAACCAAAAUGGACUGUACCGAAGAACAAAUAGAGUAACUUAUUUUUUUAUA